GGAGGUGGUAGACUUUUCUCCGCCAACUUUGCUCCUCCUCUCUCUCACUCUCUCCCUCUCUUUUGGCAAAUUUCAUGCGCAUCUGCUGAUGGAGUACAGUCUUCGUCUUCUAUGAAGUCUUUUUCUUCCUCCGGGCCUCCAAGUUCUCUGGUAGCCAUCCAUUUCUCAACCACUGCUUUUGCCUUUUGGUCUUCUUCUUGUUGCGCUGGUGCAAUGAUCGUUCCUCGAACCUCAAAUCAACUCAGACAGGACAGAACAGAGGUGAUGGCAACCUGUUAAAAGGAAACUCUUGAAUUUUUUCGCCCUGUUUGCGUCCUCUGAGUUCGAAUUGCCCUGUUCUGGUACUCGUUGGAAAGAUGGCAUUUCAUCCGAACUCAGCCCCACAGGAUCUACGAACUCUUGACGUGGCGCAGGCCUCGGCUGUCGGCCAAACCCAUGACGGUUUCGUCUUGAGCACUGUUCACACGGCUGUUAACCCUCGGUUGGCUCCGGUCUUAAACCCUCAGAAGGUUCCCAACCCUGGAUUCGGAGGAGGUACCGUCUAUCCCAAUGCUGCUCAUGGUGGUGCAGAGUGGAUCCCGAGUGCACCGGCUCCCCAUGGAUAUGUGAGUGCAAAUCCAUCUGCAGCCAUUGGUUACCCUGCUAUAGGGAGUAACAUUGGUGCAAAUGGUAUUGAUAAGAGUGGUAAUGAGGUGGCACCUGGCUUUGGUCAUGGCCCUUAUGUAGGGCAUAGGAUCAUGGGCGAUACAAUGGGUCAUGCCAGAGCUCAAAAUGAAAAUCUGAAUGGUUCUGGCCAGAAUUUUGUCACUAUGGACCGCAGGAAUGAUGAAGAGCAGUUCGGCAGUGAUUCAGGAGUCAGCCGCAAGCUCCAUUUGAGCGACCAAGGUAGUGGAAGUGGGGCUGCUCAGCUGAGAAAUAAAGUCGAGGAGGGUUUGGUAUUGGGAAGGACGGUUAAGCUUCUAUGUAAGUUCGGGGGUGAACUCUCAUUUAGUACCGAUCGUGGUGUUUUGAGAUACACCAGUGGUGAGACAAAGAUUGUCAGCGUUAGGCGAGAUGUGAGCUAUAAAGAGUUUGUGCAGAAAAUGGAAGAUACUUGUGGGCAGCCAGUUGUUGUGAAGUACCAGCUCCCUGAUCUUGAUCAAGAUCUGGACGCCCUGAUUUCCGUUACAAAUCCUGAAGAUCUUGAUUAUAUGAUGAAUGAGUAUGAGAGAUUGGACCGCGGAUCGUCAGAUGGCUCAGCUAAGCUAAAAGUUUUUCUUUUCCCUAAAUCCAAGCUGGAUUCUUCAAGUGCCAUUAGGCAUGGUGACUUGCACGAUAGUGGGCAGAGAAAUGUCGAAGUCAUGAGUGGUAUGAUGGAUGGUGCGGGUGGUGGUACUGCAAGGAAAGAGAGCACAGCAAGCACAACAUCCUCACAAAAUUCUGAUACUAGCAGCUAUGGAGCUGUUGAUAGAAUAGUCCCUGUGCAAGCAGAUAUCAAUGGGCCACCACUGACUAGCAAACCAUCUCCUGGAAGGAAUUUAGCUGCUUCUAAUGAUGCAUCAUCUUUGCAAUUUGAGAUUGAACAAGAAAGAACUGCACCAAAGAGACUGUCGGCUAAUGAUCUGCAGCAAGCAGGAGGGGGCAUUCCAUCAGCUUCACCUCACAUCUGGAGUUAUAUGGAUCCUCACAAGGAAGAUGUCAACAUGGAUUACUUGCUUCCUCCUCAUAUGACGGGUAGUCCAAGUCCUCAUCAAUUGGGAACUACUGCUCCCGCAUAUGGCCAGCAGCAUUUUCCUGUGAAUGCUGGUGGUGGUAACUCUCAACAGCUUAUAUCUGCUGUAGAUAGAACAAUGGAUACAGCAUCUUCUCAAGCAAGUUUAAGGCCUACUGUAGUUCUUCCAUUUACCCAUCCUCAACAAAAUCAUUUAGGGCAUGAGGCCACAUCUGGGAAGAGGUUGGUUCCGCUUCCUCUUGAGAAACAUCAUGAUGCAUAUCAAGUCCAAGCACCUUCUGCAAUGGUUGGAGGUACUAAUGGUUCCCACGUUCAUCAACUGGGACAAGCUGUUUAUUCCGAUGGAUCAACAUUUUGUCGGCAGGCUGAAAAUUUUCAGAGGUUUGAGGAACAUGCUUUGCGUCAAAAGCAUUGCCUGAUAUAUUUUCCGAAUUUGUCGUACUGGACCAAAGAGACACUACAGUUAGCCAUCUACACGUUUCAAGCCCAAUUCACCAUUGUCUACCUCUCGAAGACAAUAUCAAAUCUGUUCCAGGAAUGAAUGAUCCUGAUUCUACAAAGCAUAUGGUGGGCUUUGCUGGCAAUGUACAGUCCCCAUCUGGUGUUUUCCAGGGUGUUGUUCCUGAGCCUUCUCCAGAGAUCAGCAUGUGGCAGCAUUUUAUGCCAGCUCAAUGCCAGCUUAGACAGGAGGCCUCGGGAAGUAAACUAGGUUCAGCAGAGCAUAUAAUCGAGCAAGAACUUCAGAAUGUUCCUGAGGGUGUAGUUACUUGUGCUUUUCAGAUAGCUCUGCCUUCUAAUCCUGACUUGACAGUCUAUGAAGGAAGUAAGCCUUCUCAUGAAGCCAACCAGGAGAAAGAUGUGCACCACAAAGCUGACUUUGAGGAUGCCAGUGCUACGUUGGCAGGGAGGGUGCAUUUUCACUUUCCUGUGGAUCCAAUCGGUGGCUUGCAAAUGAUAAAAAGAAGUGACCUUGAAGUUCGGCAAGAAUUAGGUUCUGGCACAUUUGGGACUGUUCAUCAUGGAAAAUGGAGGGGUAAAGAUGUUGCCAUUAAACAGAUCAACGACAAAUGCUUUCUUGGGGAGCCCACAGAACAAGAGCGAAAGAUGCGUGAUUUCUUGAAUGAGGCAAAAUUGCUUGCGGAUUUGCAUCAUCCAAAUGUGGUGGCCUUCUAUGGCAUUGUUUAUGAUGGGCCUGAUGGUCCUGGAGAUUCUGUUACAACAGUAACUGAGUAUAUGGUUGAUGGUUCUUUACGAAAGGCUCUGCAGAAAGGUGAAAGGAACUUUGAUAUGCAUAAGCGUGUGCUGAUUGCUAGGGAAGUGGCAUUUGGUAUGGAGUACUUGCAUGACAAGAAGAUAGUGCAUUUUGAUUUGAAAAGCGAUAACCUUCUUGUCAAUCUUGGUGAUCCCCGUCAACCAACUUGUAAGAUUGGUGAUCUGGGAUUGUCCAAGGUAAAACGUCAGACUCUAAUAUCAGGUGGCAUGCGGGGAACACUUCCUUGGAUGGCACCAGAACUAUUGAAUGACAGCGGUGACCGUGUGUCUGAGAAGGUUGAUGUCUACUCAUUCGGCAUUGUCAUGUGGGAGCUGCUGACUGGCGAAGAACCAUAUGCCGAUUUGGACACUACGCACAUGAUAGGGGGUAUCGUGAACAACACACUGCGGCCGCAGGUACCAGCAUCUUGUGAUCCAGAAUGGAAAUCGCUGAUGGAGAGGUGCUGGUCAUCCGAGCCAUCAGAAAGACCAAGCUUCGCCGAAAUUGCAAAGGAGUUGCGUUCUAUUGCUUUGAGGACCAAUGCCAAGAACUAUAGUCGCAGAUAGGUUUUGUGCAUGAUCCCUAGACCACAAAUAUGCCAGACAAGUUGCCUGGCAGCUAUAGCUCUUUUCCUCCGGAGAUUUGUGCAUAUGUAUUGUGAUUUCUCGACUCAUAUUUCUCA